rnacentral:tRNA from 1 species
GGGUCGGUACCGAAGCGGUCAACCGGGGCAGACUGUAAAUCUGCUGGCGUAUGCCUUCGUGGGUUCGAAUCCCUCCCGGCCCA